rnacentral:rRNA from 1 species
GACGAACGCUGGCGGCGUGCCUAAUACAUGCAAGUAGAACGCAGUUGCGAACGGGUGAGUAACGCGUAGGUAACUGCCUCAUAGCGGGGGAUAACUAUUGGGAACGAUAGCUAAUACCGCAUACUGUGAGACGGACCUGCGUUGUAUGAGCUAGUUGGUGAGGUAAAGGAUCACCAAGGCGACGAUCCAUAGCCGACCUGAGAGGGUGGUCGGCCAAACGGGGACUGAGAACCGGCCCAGACUCCUACCGGAGGCAGCCGUAGGGAAUCUUCGUCAAAUGACGGAAGUCUGAGCGAGCAACGCCGCGUGAGUUACGAAGGUUUUCGGAUCGUAAAGCUCUGUUGUUAGAGAAGCGUUAACUAACCAGAAAGGGACGGCUAACUCCGUGCCAGCAGCCGCGGUAAUAC